UCUCCCGAGUUCUCCUCAAAUAUUUUUCCUUUGGGAAAAUUGGAUAUGACAAACUCCACAGUCCUGUUUAUGUUUGCGCUCAGGGACAAAUGGAUUUACGAGGAAUUUUGCAGUCGGUCGAGAAAAAAGAUUUCAUGCGAUACCAAACGUACAUGACGGAAAGGAUCAACAAGGAAAUGCGGGAAGAGAGUUUGCGCACCGGAGAAAAUCAAAACUGCCAAAUGACGUUCAUCGCUGACAUGAUGGGUCUCUCAAUGAGGCAAAUUUCUUACAAGCCAGUUAUGGACGCGGGACGUGAACAGACGAAGAAUUACGAAUCAAAUUAUCCGGAAAAUAUUCGCCGAAUCUUCAUUAUCAACGGUAAUCAAAUCUGUAAUUAUCUUA